AAACUUUCUUUUCUUUGAAAAAAAUUUGGAAGAAUCUGGGUUGAACUAGGCAAGCAGCUCUGGAGAAAGCGAGCAUAUGUUUACUAAAUUGUAGGCCAACUGGUUCUGAGACUUUGAAGAAUCUUGUAUAUGUAGAGUGCGAUUGGUUCUUAGAGGGCUGAGAUAAAAAGCAAAAGGUUCCUUCUUUUUCUUCUUUUCUUUUCUUAAAAUUUGUCUUGUUAUAAUGGGGAAAGUGAAGAAUGUUAAAUGUUAUAAUGGAGGUUCUGAAAUGUUGGAGGAUUUAAGGUUUGAUAAUCUGUUAGCGGAAGCAAGAAGCGAAAGUUUUAGAGUUAGAAAUAUAAAGGAAAUCAACAAACAAUUUAGUGAAAUUGACAUGGAAGAUAUUGAUUCAGAUUAUGGAAUGUUUUGGAGUUCUCUUAUUGAUUAUAUUUCUGUACUUGCUCAUAAAUCUGAUGUACAACCUUCUAAGAAGAUCAAACGUGAUGGUAAAAUAGAUGAAAGCUUGGAAAAGCUUCUAGGUUCUCUGGAUAAGUUCGAAAAGUAUCCGGAAUUUAUCUUUGGAACUUACCACACAAAUAGGCAUAGGAAGUAUGAUGAAAGUUGUGAGCAACCUUCCAAGGAGAUAACUUGUGAUAGUCUGGUAGAUGAAAGCUUGAAAGAGUUUCUAGGUUCUUUGGAUAAGAUCCCGGAAUUCAUCCAUGGAACUUACAAUACAAAUUUGAAUCGGAAGUAUUACAGAAGUUGUUCUGAUUUGAAUAUCCUCACAUUGGAUGAUACUUGUGAAGGGAGUUAUGCACCAUUUGUACCAUCAACAUCAUUGGCUAAAGAAGAGUGUAAGGAUGCCAUUAGGACUCCUAGCCAGCCUCAGUUUAGGGAGAAGGUUAUGGCUCUCCUUAGAACUCCUUAUGACCAAAAGGCGUUUGAUAAUCUUUGGCGGGAAGUAACUUACCGUAAACCAAUGCAAGGUGCUGGAAAUAUAUGCCACAGACUAAUCAAGAACCAUUCAACCAAAACUAAAGAAAAAUCACUCCUUGAUUUGCACCAAGGCAAGACUGGUUUCUCCAACUUCUGUUGGUGUUUACUUGUUUGUUCUUUUUUCAAAUAUGCAUGUUAUGUCUAAAGUAUGCACAUAGUAAUUGAGAUCAUUGCCCCUUGCAACUGUUUAUUCCACUUGAAAUAUAAUUCAGUGUUUACUAUUACACGAUUGCUAUCUAAUAUUCUUCAAAGUGCAGCUCUCAUCAAAGAUAAAUUUCAUUUGGAAGUACUUUGAGUGGUUGUGCCUAUCUUUUCUUUGGCCCAUCAGAUUUUGCAUGAUUGUUUUGGUUCCAUGGUUUUGGUUGAGCAGAACUUGUCGAACUUGUUAACAGUUGCGAAGUAAAGAUGAAAAUUGAUGAAUAUAGGUCAGACCGCCGCAAACUUUUAUGUCUCUUACGUGGAUUUUUCUUUUGGUUGGAGAAACUGCCUAGUUAUGAAGAUGCAUUUCCACCAUGGUUGGACACCUUGUAUUUGAAUGCCUUGG